AUCGUUUCACUGGAACAUUUCCACACUGAGACAAACACCAGCAGCACUUUAAUUGUUUGCUCUACUCUUCCCUAGAGAACAUUACGGUCUCCCGUGUCCAAAAGGAAGAUAUAAAAUCCGUGACAUUCCUCAAAAGAAACAUUUCCUUCAUCCAGGAAUAUAAACCAAAUAUUUCCCUAGUAGGUCCUCAUCAAAGACCACUCAGCAGCUUCUAGGCUUUCUCUGCCUGGAUUUCCGAACAUGAACCACAGCUGAAACUAGGAGGAAACAGCUACAUGUGCUUAACUAUGGAGUAUUUUUUGGGGCAGAAAGGUUCUUUUUCUUACUUUCACUAGAAAUCUCUCAAAUUACCGGUGAUAAUGUUAAAAUAAGUGGUAAUGUUACAAGGUCACUGUUUAACUGGUCUCAACUAAAACUAAAACACAAUUGAAUUUUGGCAGAGCUUGUCAUCUUAGUCUAGGAAUCACGGUACCAGAGUCACCCCAGACGUCAUCUGGAGUAAACGGUCACAUCCACAAAGUGAUUCAGAUUCUAGGAUGCAUCAAGAAUGAAGGACCUUGAAAAAAGAUCAAAGAAAACAGUCUAAAAUGGGAUUCAUCUCACUAACCAUCUAAACUUUUGGCAGUGAAUUGAUACUGGUCAUGCAGGCGUCCUUUCUUAUCAACAGAUGAGCGCAUAGCCAGGAUACGAUGCAUCCCACCCACCCCUCUGCAGUGAUUAUAGAUGGAACUGAAGAUGAUGCACUUAGACCAACCUUUACAAAGCCAAAUACAGGUGAGCAAGAGAGAUCUGCCCUGCCUCGAACUUAUACUGGCAUCAGCAGAUGCUAACUUUGGCAAAGUUAAGUUACAUGAUGCACUUCUGGAAAGGUAAAAUUAAGACCCGAAAUUAAUUUGAGAGAGGACUGAAUCAAAUUCAGUUGGUUUUACGUGAAAAAUAAA